UGCUUAACACAUGCAAGUCGAGUGCGCGCCCGUAGCAAUACGGGUGGCGCACGGCGCACGGGUGCGUAACACGUGGGCAAUCUGCCCUCUGAUGGGGAAUAACCCCGCGAAAGCGGGGCUAAUACCGCAUAACAUUCCUUGGACCACGGUUCGAGGACUCAAAGGCGUAAGUCGUCGGAGGAGGAGCCCGCGCACGAUUAGCUAGUUGGCAGGGUAACGGCCUACCAAGGCUUUGAUCGUUAGCUGGUCUGAGAGGAUGGCCAGCCACACUGGAACUGAGACACGGUCCAGACUCCUACGGGAGGCAGCAGUGGGGAAUCUUGCACAAUGGGCGAAAGCCUGAUGCAGCGACGCCGCGUGGGGGAUGAAGCUUCUCGGAGUGUAAACCCCUUUCGACCC
rnacentral:rRNA from 1 species